rnacentral:rRNA from 1 species
GACGAACGCUGGCGGCGUGCCUAACACAUGCAAGUCGAACGGGGUUAAUUUCUUCGGAGAUUAACUUAGUGGCGAACGGGUGAGUAACGCGUGAGAAACCUGCCUUUCAGUGGGGGACAACAGUUGGAAACGACUGCUAAUACCGCAUAAUGUAUUUUGGGGGCAUCCCUUGAAUACCAAAGCUUUAUGUGCUGAAAGAUGGUCUCGCGUCUGAUUAGCUAGUUGGUGGGGUAAACGGCCCACCAAGGCGACGAUCAGUAGCCGGUCUGAGAGGAUGAACGGCCACAUUGGGACUGAGAUACGGCCCAGACUCCUACGGAGGCAGCAGUGGGGAAUAUUGGGCAAUGGGGGAAACCCUGACCCAGCAACGCCGCGUGAAGGAAGAAGGUCUUCGGAUUGUAAACUUCUGUUUUUAGUGAAGAAACAAAUGACGGUAGCUAAAGAGGAAGCCACGGCUAACUACGUG